UACAGAGGUCCCAAGCGUUGUUCGGAUUCACUGGGCGUAAAGGGUGCGUAGGCGGUGGGGUAAGUUUGAGGUGAAAUCUCCGGGCUCAACCCGGAAAAUGCCUUGAAGACUAUCCUGCUAGAGGAUCGGAGGGGAGACUGGAAUUCUCGGUGUAGCAGUGAAAUGCGUAGAUAUCGAGAGGAACACCAGUGGCGAAGGCGAGUCUCUGGACGAUUCCUGACGCUGAGGCACGAAAGCCAGGGGAGCAAACGGG
rnacentral:rRNA from 1 species